rnacentral:rRNA from 1 species
AAGCAGCCAUCCUUUAAAGAAAGCGUAAUAGCUCACUGGUCUAGUGAUUUUGCGCGGAAAAUAUAACGGGGCUAAAGUAAGUACCGAAGCUGUAGACUUGCGCACAACUUAGAUUAUUUAAGUUUAGAAUAUGAGAAACUAAGUUAUAUUUUUACUGAUUUUUAUAGAGUAAAGAUUAGAAAUAAAACUUAGUAAAAUCAGUAAAAAUAUUCUUAGGCUAAAGUUAAGUAGUUUAAGUUGUGUGCAAGUGGUAGGAGAGCGUUCUAUUUGCGUCGAAGGUAUACCGGUAAGGAGUGCUGGAGCGAAUAGAAGUGAGCAUGCAGGCAUGAGUAGCGAUAAUUAAUGUGAGAAUCAUUAACGCCGUAAACCCAAGGUUUCCUACGCGAUGCUCGUCAUCGUAGGGUUAGUCGGGUCCUAAGUCGAGUCCGAAAGGGGUAGACGAUGGCAAAUUGGUUAAUAUUCCAAUACCAACAUUAGUGUGCGAUGGAAGGACGCUUAGGGCUAAGGGGGCUAGCGGAUGGAAGUGCUAGUCUAAGGUCGUAGGAGGUUAUACAGGCAAAUCCGUAUAACAAUACUCCGAGAACUGAAAGGCUUUUUGAAGUCUUCGGAUGGAUAGAAGAACCCCUGAUGCCGUCGAGCCAAGAAAAGUUUCUAAGUUUAGCUAAUGUUGCCCGUACCGUAAACCGACACAGGUGGGUGGGAUGAGUAUUCUAAGGCGCGUGGAAGAACUCUCUUUAAGGAACUCUGCAAAAUAGCACCGUAUCUUCGGUAUAAGGUGUGGUUAGCUUCGUACUAGGAUUUACUCCGAAAGCGAAGAAACUUACAACAAAGAGUCCCUCCCGACUGUUUACCAAAAACACAGCACUCUGCUAACUCGUAAGAGGAUGUAUAGGGUGUGACGCCUGCCCGGUGCUCGAAGGUUAAUUGAUGGGGUUAGCAUUAGCGAAGCUCUUGAUCGAAGCCCGAGUAAACGGCGGCCGUAACUAUAACGGUCCUAAGGUAGCGAAAUUCCUUGUCGGUUAAAUACCGACCUGCAUGAAUGGCGUAACGAGAUGGGAGCUGUCUCAAAGAGGGAUCCAGUGAAAUUGUAGUGGAGGUGAAAAUUCCUCCUACCCGCGGCAAGACGGAAAGACCCCGUGGACCUUUACUACAGCUUGACACUGCUAUUUGGAUAAGAAUGUGCAGGAUAGGUGGGAGGCUUUGAGUAUAUGACGCCAGUUGUAUAGGAGCCAUUGUUGAGAUACCACUCUUUCUUAUUUGGGUAGCUAACCAGCUUGAGUUAUCCUCAAGUGGGACAAUGUCUGGUGGGUAGUUUGACUGGGGCGGUCGCCUCCCAAAUAAUAACGGAGGCUUACAAAGGUUGGCUCAGAACGGUUGGAAAUCGUUCAUAGAGUAUAAAGGUAUAAGCCAGCUUAACUGCAAGACAUACAAGUCAAGCAGAGACGAAAGUCGGUCUUAGUGAUCCGGUGGUUCUGUGUGGAAGGGCCAUCGCUCAAAGGAUAAAAGGUACCCCGGGGAUAACAGGCUGAUCUCCCCCAAGAGCUCACAUCGACGGGGAGGUUUGGCACCUCGAUGUCGGCUCAUCGCAUCCUGGGGCUGGAGCAGGUCCCAAGGGUAUGGCUGUUCGCCAUUUAAAGCGGUACGCGAGCUGGGUUCAGAACGUCGUGAGACAGUUCGGUCCCUAUCUGCCGUGGGCGUAAGAAGAUUGAAGAGAUUUGACCCUAGUACGAGAGGACCGGGUUGAACAAACCACUGGUGUAGCUGUUGUUCUGCCAAGAGCAUCGCAGCGUAGCUAAGUUUGGAAAGGAUAAACGCUGAAAGCAUCUAAGCGUGAAGCCAACUCUAAGAUGAAUCUUCUCUAAGCUCUCUAGAAGACUACUAGUUUGAUAGGCUGGGUGUGUAAUGGAUGAAAGUCCUUUAGCUGACCAGUACUAAUAGAGCGUUUGGCUUAUCUUU